ACGGAAGGCAGCAGUGGGGAAUAUUGGGCAAUGGGGGAAACCCUGACCUAGCAACGCCGCGUGAAGGAAGAAGGCCUUCGGGUUGUAAACUUCUUUUACCAGGGACGAUAAUGACGGUACCUGGAGAAAAAGCAACGGCUAACUACGUGCCAGCAGCCGCGGUAAUACGUAGGUUGCAAGCGUUGUCCGGAUUUACUGGGUGUAAAGGGCGUGUAGGCGGAGCUGCAAGUCAGAUGUGAAAUCCCGGGGCUCAACCCCGGAACUGCAUUUGAAACUGUAGCCCUUGAGUAUCGGAGAGGCAAGCGGAAUUCCUAGUGUAGCGGUGAAAUGCGUAGAUAUUAGGAGGAACACCAGUGGCGAAGGCGGCUUGCUGGACGACAACUGACGCUGAGGCGCGAAAGCGUGGGGAGCAAACAGGAUUAGAUACCCUGGUA
rnacentral:rRNA from 1 species